rnacentral:rRNA from 1 species
GAUGAACGCUGACAGAAUGCUUAACACAUGCAAGUCUACUUGGUUCUACUUCGGUAGUUGAUGGUGGCGGACGGGUGAGUAACGCGUAAAGAAUCUGCCCUUUAGUUUGGGAUAACCUUUGGAAACGAAGGCUAAUAACGGAUAUUAUGGAGACGUCGCAUGGAGACUCCAUGACAUCUAUGUGCGCUAGAGGAGGACUUUGCGUCGCAUUAGUUAGUUGGUGAGGUAAUGGCUCCCCAAGACAUCGAUAGGUAGCCGGCCUGAGAGGGUGAUCGGCCAUAAGUGAACUGAGACACGGUACUUACUACUACGGGAGGCAGCAGUGGAGAAUAUUGGACAAUGGGCCACAAGCCUGAUCCAGCAAUUCUGUGUGCACGAUGAAGGUCUUCGGAUUGUAAAGUGCUUUCAGUAGGGAAGAAAAAAAUGACGGUACCUACAGAAGAAGCGACGGCUAAAUAUGUGCCAGCAGCCGCCGUAAAAC